UCAUAAUGCAGCGGAUCCGCAUGGAUAUGUGUUAAGGUUUACCGCCUUGGGAUAGGCUUGCGUCUGAUUAGCUAGUUGGUGUGGUAAUGGCACACCAAGGCUACGAUCAGUAACUGGUCUGAGAGGAUGAUCAGUCACACUGGAACUGAGACACGGUCCAGACUCCUACGGGAGGCAGCAGUGAGGAAUAUUGGGCAAUGCACGAAAGUGUGACCCAGCAACGCCGCGUGGAGGAUGAAGGUAUUCUAUAUCGUAAACUCCUGUGAGAGCAGACGAAAGACAGAUUAUUAAUUUGGAUGACUGUAUGCUCAGAGGAAGCCCCGGCUAACUACGUG
rnacentral:rRNA from 1 species